rnacentral:tRNA from 1 species
CGGGGUGUAGCGCAGUCUGGUAGCGCGCCUGCUUUGGGAGGCAGGAUGUCGGGGGUUCGAAAUCCCUCCUCCCCGACCA